UUUAAAAUUUUUAUUUAUGUUGCAUUAAGAGUGAGAGAGUCAGUAGAUAGAUCCUAAGAUACUAGAUGUGUGUCUUAUUAAGUGAUAAGGUUGAUUGACAUAAAUUUGAAUUAUAAUAGUAAAUAUUUAGCUAGCCUCAUACGUGAAUUAUAUGUCAUGGUUAGUUAGAUUAAUCCAAUGAUUAUAGUGAAGAUGUAAUUUGUAUACAGCUAGGCACUUUUAAAUGAAUAUGAUUAAUUAGGAGUCAUAGAGAGAGAGAAAAAAAUUUGGUAACAGAAGAACCAAAUCUUAUCGUAGAGGACCUAGAGAAAAUUUUGUAGUGAAGUGACAAAAGAUUUAUUCCUUAAAUUUUGGGAAGUAGCCAUAUAUGUGUAACUUGAAGAGAAAAUAUAGUAAAAAUAGUUGAUAGUUUGAAUAGAAGAAAAGUCAAAUCAAUCAAAGCUGUACUCUUCUUGGCUAUUUGAAACAAACUCUCCACCUUUGGAACAAUUCUUUAACCGAAAUGGCAUCUAGUAAGUUCUAGGAUACCAUGUGUCAUCUGGUUUAUUUCUUCAUAUAUUUAAUUAAUGGUUCAACUCUAAUAAUAGCAUAUUUAGUGGAACGUGUAUGUAGUUAACUUGAGCCUUAUAAAUACCACUACACUCAAUACAAAUAUUGCACUUAAGCUCUAUAUCAUCACUCUAAUUCUCUCGUCCCUUUGUACGUUGCUACACAUUACUCUACAUCCCAUAUCUUAUUUUUUAUAAGCUCUAUAUAUAAGCCAUCCAUACACCAUCAAAUUUCUCUUAUAACCAUCACAAUCAUCCUCUCAUAAACAUAUAUAGAUAUAUAUACAUAUCUUUCAUCAUAUUGGCAUCACCAUCUCCAUCAUUUUAUAAUGUUCAACUAGAUCUCUUUUGAAAGCAAAGGUUUGUCAUAGAACAAUUAUUAUUUCUCAAAGAUUUCUCUUAUUGCAAUCAAGGUUAACACUCCACAUCCGAGGUAAGGAAAUUAAGUAGAAAAAAACAUAAGUUUUCUGUAUGUAAUAACAUUCAUAGAAAGAGUGGGAAUAGUAAAAGAGAAGUUAACUAAGGUCUUCUGCCCAACUCUUUAUUGUCUGUUAUUUAAUGUACUGUAUAAUAUAUAUUUAAAUAAUAUGUUUAUAAGAUUCAUGUUAUUUAUGUAUGUUUACAGUAUUAGAGCAUGGCCAUUGCUAAAGAUAUAUAUUUAAAUAAUAUGUUUAUAAGAUUCAUGUUAUUUAAGUAUGUAUGUAAAUAGUGUGUUUAUAAGAUUCACAUUAUUUAAUUAUGAUUGUUAUGUUAUUUAAAUAAUGUAUAGUAGUUUGCCAUUAUUUAAAUUAGAUAGAUUAUAGUUUAUGUGACAUGGUUUGACUGAGAAGAUAAUGGUUAAAUACUUGAUUAUUGGGUCUAUAUGGUAGAUAGGGGGCCAUUUAGUAGUGGGUAUGAUUUUACUGAACCCAGCCCUCCGCCAUUAUUUAGUCCAAUAGCUCGAGUUUAUUUGCCAAAGUCGGACUCGGGCGUAAUCAUUAUUAUGUGAUUUAGCUUAGAACCUAGUUAUUAGUGACUAGUGAUAUAAUUAAGUUUAUGUUUUGCUAUCUGUCUAAAUGUGUGCAUGUGCAUUUUAGUUUAGUGUUGUUUUUAUUUAUGUGACUACCUGACACACAUUUCCUUACUGAGUUUAGUAGCUCACCCUUAUUAAAUUACCAUGUGCAGACCAAAGUAACUAAAAGUCUAGAAUGCCGGUGGCGAGUGGAACUUUGGACGCUUGUGUGUGUGAACUCGCUGAGGGCCAUAUAACUGCGGGCGGUCUAGGGCGCUCUGUUUAUUUAUUUACGUUAUUAAACUUAUGUCGCAAUUAUUUUAGUUAUUAAUUAUUGUGUUUUUUUUUACGAAAACUGGCCAGUUGUGAACAUUUUCAAGUAUUAAAUAAAAAUGCGACAUUAUGAUUUUCCGCGUUUAACGCUUGUAAAUAAAAUUAAUAUUUUUAUAAAAGUACGGGCGUUACAGUU